CCUACGGGAGGCAGCAGUGGGGAAUAUUGCACAAUGGGGGAAACCCUGAUGCAGCGACGCCGCGUGAGUGAAGAAGUAUUUCGGUACGUAAAGCUCUAUCAGCAGGGAAGAAAAUGACGGUACCUGACUAAGAAGCCCCGGCUAACUACGUGCCAGCAGCCGCGGUAAUACGUAGGGGGCAAGCGUUAUCCGGAUUUACUGGGUGUAAAGGGAGCGUAGACGGCAGCGCAAGUCUGGAGUGAAAUCCCAUGGCUUAACCAUGGACCUGCUUUGGAAACUGUGCAGCUAGAGUGCAGGAGAGGUAAGCGGAAUUCCUAGUGUAGCGGUGAAAUGCGUAGAUAUUAGGAGGAACACCAGUGGCGAAGGCGGCUUACUGGACUGUAACUGACGUUGAGGCUCGAAAGCGUGGGGAGCAAACAGGAUUAGAUACCCCAGUAGUC
rnacentral:rRNA from 1 species